AUGCACAGAGAACACCCAUGGAUGCUUGUGUAGCUCUCCCUGGUCUCAUGUAACUGUGCUACAGUGAAGUCUGGUCUGUACCUCUGCAUUGGGAAAGCUGCCUCCUCUCCUACAUGUAUUCAGCGGACCAGUACAAGC